CAUUACAGUGAUUGGUUCCCCCAUUCACGCCUCUUCGUUAAGCGCGUAGUGAUUGGCUGUACAGAUUUUGUACUCAACGGUGAUUGGCUGAAGACACUGACAGUUAUCUGACGUAUCCGGUGUCCUUCAUGCAGCAGGAAUGGCGACCUACACGUUAAUGCGAAGCAGUUUGGGACUGUUAAAUGGCUUAAAAUGUUCUUUUAAAAGUGUAGGCCAGAUUCCAUACGGGGCAGCGGCUGGAGCAAUUACCCAGUCGAAAGUGUUGCAAAAUGCGAGAUGGUAUGCUGUCAGCCACAUCUCUGUGCAGGAGAGAAUUGACAAGAAGCGAAAGGCAGCGCUUGCGGGAGGAGGACGACAGAGAAUAGAUGCACAGCAUAAAAGGGGUAAACUGACAGCGCGCGAGAGAGUGGAGCUCUUGUUGGACCCUGACUCGUUCGUGGAGUAUGACAUGUUUGUGGAGCACCGCUGUUCUGACUUUGGCAUGGAGGCAGAUCAUAAUAAGUAUCCAGGUGACAGUGUUGUGACUGGACAGGGCAGGAUCAAUGGCAGGCUAGUCUAUGUUUUCAGCCAGGACUUCACAGUGUUUGGAGGCAGUUUAUCAGGAGCCCAUGCUCAAAAGAUCUGCAAGAUCAUGGACCAGGCAAUAAUGGUUGGAGCUCCAGUUAUAGGUCUCAAUGACUCUGGUGGAGCCCGAAUUCAGGAAGGUGUUGAGUCCCUGGCAGGAUAUGCUGACAUUUUCUUGCGUAAUGUAUUGGCGUCCGGUGUAGUUCCUCAGAUCUCUCUCAUCAUGGGCCCAUGUGCGGGAGGUGCGGUGUACUCACCUGCUCUCACAGACUUUACUUUCAUGGUGAAGGACACCUCCUACCUCUUUAUAACGGGACCAGAUGUGGUUAAAUCUGUUACUAAUGAAGAUGUUACCCAGGAGGAGCUCGGUGGAGCAAAAACACACACUGCAGUGUCUGGUGUUGCCCAUCGGGCUUUUGAGAAUGACAUUGAUGCCCUUCUUAAUUUACGAGACUUUUUCAACUUCCUCCCAUUGAGCAACAAAGAUCCAGCUCCUGUCGUUGAGUGCCAUGAUCCCAGUGAUCGCCUGGUUCCUGGUUUGGACACUGUUGUUCCUAUUGAAAGCACUAAAGCCUAUGACAUGCUGGACAUCAUUCAUGGUAUCGUAGAUGAGAGAGAAUUCUUUGAGAUUAUGCCCAACUAUGCAAAAAAUAUUGUGGUGGGUUUUGCCAGGAUGAAAGGCCGUACAGUAGGCAUAGUUGGAAACCAGCCAAAAGUGGCAUCUGGCUGCUUGGACAUAAAUUCAUCUGUUAAAGGGGCUCGCUUUGUGCGGUUCUGUGAUGCUUUCAACAUUCCCCUCAUCACAUUUGUAGAUGUGCCUGGAUUCUUGCCAGGCACAGCCCAAGAGUACGGAGGCAUCAUCAGACAUGGAGCCAAACUGCUUUUUGCUUUUGCAGAGGCAACUGUUCCAAAAAUCACAGUGAUCACUAGAAAGGCUUAUGGAGGUGCUUAUGAUGUGAUGAGUUCCAAACAUUUACGAGGAGAUGUCAACUAUGCUUGGCCAUCUGCUGAAGUCGCAGUGAUGGGUGCAAAAGUAACCCUGAGAACUAAAAUGAGUGCAAUAGCUAAUGCAAUUAAAUUUUAACUGAUUACUGUGGGUGAAUAAUGGGGAUUUCUACACUGGACAUUCAUCAGCUUUUAUUGGCAAACUGGGAACAAUGUUGUUUUCAUCCAUAAAAAUCAAGAAUUGGUCCUGUACAAAUGAACAUCUAAAUAAGAGUUAAAUGCUUUAUUCUACAGUAUAAAUAACAUGUGAAGGCAUUCAGAGAUACACUAGCUUCAGCCUUCAUGGUUGAUGAUAUACACUUACACUGCAGCAAUGAUCACUAUGCUUGGCUCCCAAACUUGUUAAUUUCCCUUCAACUGGUUUUAUUUCUAUGUUGGAGGCUGUAGCAGUGAGUUGAAUAUAAGGUGCUGAGUUUGCAACGCAGCAGCAGAGAUCAUGUCACAUGUUGAACUAUUUACAGUACAAACUAUAACCAUUUCUGCUGGUAGACCUUUAUUGGGUGCUGUUCAAAUCAUCUUCAGAGGAAAGGAGAACCAAGCUGAGGCUGAAGCUGAAUAUGUAGACAAGUUUGCCAAUCCCUUCCCAGCUGCUGUCAGA